rnacentral:lncRNA from 1 species
CGGGGUAAGUUUAGAGAUUCUUUUAUUUGUUGCACGUUUUGUUUUACAUGCUGCUAUUAUUCUAUCAGACUUGCAUAAUAAAAAUAAUACAUUUAUGAAUUCUUGAAUAUUCAUAUCCAUUACUAAUUCAUCACAUAUUGCAUUUCCUUUUCCAUUUGCUUGUGUGAAACCCUAGAAUCUUAUCCCAAAUUCACUCUCAAGAUCGAGUCUUUUACACAGAAGGGGUCAAGAUUAUCACUCAAUUCAAUCUCAGAGGUUAGUUUCAGUUUUCAAUUUCUGGGAUACGUUUUUCGAUUGGAAUUCUGUGAUGCUGGGAUUUUUUGUAAGUGGGAUUCGUUUUGGACCAUCGUAUGUUUUUAUCGGCUAGGGAGUUACUGUACCUGGGUUUCUGUUUGAUUAAUAUAAAUUUUGAUUUAUUUUAUUUUCACUUCAUGAACUUUAAUUAGGAAUUUUUGUAUCUUAUGUGAUGUUUAGGUUUGGCUAUUGAAUUGUGGUUGCCUAAUGUGAAAACAUGGUUUUUCUUAUGACGCAGAUCAUUUGAACAAUUCCCAUUUGAAGAUAACAAGCAAAUUCUGGGUUUUGGGGUUUCGUGUUGAGAUUUUGAGGGAGUGUUUAAUUUCGGGAGGAGGAAUAGAAGAGAAGUUUUGGCAAAAUGAUGUCAAGAUCUUAUACCAAUCUUCUGGAUUUGGCGUCUGGGAAUUUCCCUGUAAUGGGCAAGGAGAAGGAGCGAAAGCGGUUCCCUAGGGUAAUGACAGUCCCUGGGAGUAUACUCGAGCUAGAUGAUGACCAGACUAAUAGUGUUACAUCAGAAAACCCAUCUUCAGUUUCUGGUGAAAGAAUGAUUAUUGUAGCAAAUCUUUUGCCCUUGAAAGCAAAGCGAAGGCCAGACAAUAAAGGGUGGAAUUUUAGUUGGAAUGAGGAUUCAUUGCUUUUGCGGGUUAAGGAUGGCUUUCCGGAAGACAUGGAGGUGCUGUAUGUUGGGUCAUUACCUGUUGAUGUCGAUCCAAUUGAACAGGAUGACGUAGCCAAUUAUAUUUUGGAAAAAUUCAAGUGCGUCCCUGCCUUUCUUCCACCUAAUCUUCUGGGAAAAUAUUACGAUGGCUUUUGCAAGAAGCAGUUGUGGCCACUUUUCCACUACAUGUUGCCGUUUUCAGCUAAUCAUGGAAGUCGGUUUGAUCGUUCAAUGUGGGAAGCCUAUGUGUCCGUAAAUAGGCUGUUUUCUCAGAAAGUGGUCGAGGUGCUAAAUCCUGAGGAUGAUUUUGUUUGGAUUCACGACUAUCAUUUGAUGGUGCUCCCCACAUUUUUGAGGAGGCGGUUUGUCCGAUUGAGAAUGGGUUUUUUCCUUCACAGUCCUUUUCCAUCAUCUGAGAUAUACAGGACACUUCCUGUUAGAGAAGAAAUCCUUAGGGCCCUACUCAACUCUGACCUUAUUGGCUUUCAUACCUUUGAUUAUGCUCGGCAUUUCCUAUCCUGUUGCAGUCGGAUGUUGGGCUUGGAAUAUCAAUCAAAAAGGGGUUAUAUAGGACUAGAUUACUAUGGAAGGACAGUUGGAAUAAAGAUUAUGCCAGUUGGGAUACAUAUGGGCCAUAUUGAAUCAGCAAUGGAACUUGCAGAUAAAGAGCAGAAGUUCGAGCAGCUGCAGCAACAGUUUGAAGGUAAAACGGUUUUACUUGGAGUUGAUGACAUGGACAUUUUCAAAGGUAUCAAUUUGAAGCUUUUAGCUAUGGAGCACAUGCUCAAGCAGCAUCCAAAUUGGCAAGGAAGGGUAAUACUGGUGCAGAUUUGCAAUCCUGCUAGAGGGAAAGGAAGACAUUUGGAGGAAUUAAAAGUUGAAAUAGAGGAGAGCUGCCAGAGAAUCAAUAAGGAAUUUGGGAAGCCUGGAUAUGAGCCUAUAGUUUUUAUUCAUAGACCUGUAUCAAUAAGUGAAAGAAUGGCAUAUUACAGUAUUGCCGAAUGUGUUGUGGUUACAGCUGUGAGGGAUGGGAUGAAUCUGACUCCUUAUGAAUACACUGUCUGCAGACAAGGAGUAUCAGGUGCAGAAACUGGUUCAAAUCUGAGUGGACCCAAGAAAAGCAUGCUAGUUGUAUCCGAAUUUAUUGGGUGUUCUCCUUCCCUCAGUGGUGCAAUUCGUGUUAAUCCGUGGAAUUUUGAAACAACUGCUGAGGCAAUUAACGAGGCGAUAUCAAUGGCUGAAUCAGAAAAAGAGUUGCGGCACGAGAAGCAUUAUCGUUAUCUUAGAACCCACGACGUAGCUUUUUGGUCAAGGAGCUUCUUGCAAGAUAUGGAGAGAACUUGUGCAGACCAUUUCAGUAAAAGAUGCUGGGGGAUUGGUCUAGGCUUUGGGUUCCGAGUGGUGGCUUUAGAUCCUAAUUUUAGAAAGCUAUCUGUAGAUGAUAUCGUGGCAGCUUACCGUAGUGCUAAAAGCAGGGCUAUAUUUUUGGAUUAUGAUGGCACAUUGAUGCCUCCAACUUCUAUUAUCAAGACUCCAAGUUCACAAAUUCUCUCUAUCUUGAACAGACUUUGUGGAGAUCCAAAUAAUACUGUUUUCAUGGUGAGUGGAAGAGGGAGGGAAAGCUUGAGCAGGUGGUUUUCACCUUGCAAGAAGCUGGGACUUGCCGCGGAACAUGGGUACUUUUUGAGGUAAUGUUUCUUUACCCUUCCCGGUCAUCAGUCAAUUAUUGUUUACUUUAUCUCAAUGUUGGCUCAGUAAUUUCCAUAUAAAGAAAGACACAUGACACAAAAGGCACACUGACAUGUUGUUGUUCAAAAAGUAGGACCUCUAGCCAUUGAAAUUUGGAUUAGAGGAGUGUCUAUUUGUUGCAUUAAGAUAACUUUUGGGUUAAACUAAGAUAACUUUUGUAUGUCCUUGAUGUUCCUCGUGUGUUUGAACUGCAAAGAAUAUGAACAGUAUGUCCCCCCAUAUGGGGUUCCAAACAUUUUCCUGAUGUGUGUCUGGGAAGUGUCCGUCAAGUAUUGGAUACUUAGAAAAUAUAUAUAAGAAUAGAACACACCACAUGGAGUGUUGGACACAUGGAGUGUUUAAGACAUGCCACCUCAUUAGGAUGGUUCGUCCUUCCUAGGUGCUAUAUUUCGAAUAUCUAGUUAACAAGUUGCUUCUGAUUGUGACAUUGAUGUGGUAUAAGAUGAGUUAUUAUGAGCAUGAUGCCAGAAUGGUUUUGCUUGAAUUAAAUGAUAAACUUCAAUCUGUAAAUACUAUCUAAUGUACCUCAGGGGACUUCUAUGAUAAAAUUCUAAUUAUCUGUUUCAGUGUAGUUCAACUGUGAUGUACUCUUUAGAAAACAUUGCUAAAGGAAAAACUGGCCUUCAAGCUUUUCAUAUCUUCUUAAAAUAUUGUCUUGAAACAUUGCACAAAUGAGGCCGAUCUUUGUAACUGUGACUUCAGUUGGGCAUACUAAAGUGCUGUUCUUGUAACUUAGGAUACCUUCAGCUCUAUGCUUUACUAUAUGAGUAUCUCCUAUCCUAUUUAAUAUGUGGUGAGAAUGAAAGUGCUUCGAGGCAUUAUUAGUAUGUAUGGUGAUAAUAUCCUUUAAUAUGUGGUGAUGACAUCCUAUUUUUAAUAUAUGGUGUUAUAAUCCUCAGUAUAUACUCCUGGUGGAUUAAGGUGCAUUUUGAGGCGGGGGCUAGGCUUUUUAUCAUUUUGGAGCUGCUUAGUGUCGAUGCUCCUAUAACUUUUUCUACUCUGGAUGUUGUUUUUCUUGUAUUUCUAAAAAUGUCAUGUUUUCAAUGAAAAAUCUAGUCAAACGUGGGAAAGGCUCUGCUCUUUAUUUUUUGGAUCAAUUUUUGCUCUUGUUGUUAUAUUUUUUUGAAGGAAAUAUGGAUAAAUGGCCGAUGACCCGUUUAAUUUAUGCAAGACCAAAAUUUAUCUAAAAAAUAAGACAGAAUUUAUAAACUCACACAAGACUUCUCUCCUCUCUCCACCAUUUGGAAAUCAUCCAAAACUCUGCAUAAUCAUUGAUCUUCUCCACAAUGAAGAAAAUUUUAAAAAUUACAUUUUUCGUGGUCAGAAAUCUUCCUUUUUCAGAUUCAUAUAAUAUUUUGUUUGUUUCAACUUCAUUUUUAUUUAUAAAUAGUACGAGCUAAGCAAGACAAUUACUCGAGGAAAGCUGAAAAAAGCAAGCGAGUAGCCAUUAAGGAAAGUGUAUUGGAUAUUUGGUUUGAACCAGUUGUCCCACCCUUUAUAGCCUGUACUGGUUAGCACCUUCUGAUUUUACUCUAUCUAGUCCUUCGGACUUUGCAUCUCAGCACAAGCUAUGCCAACACCAAAAUUUUCCCACACCCUUUAAUUAGGGUGAUCUCGUAGUUCUUGGUCGGGGAAGAUACAUUGUUAGGUGUUCCAUUUUCUUUUCCCAUUGAGGCCGACAAUCCGUCGUUAACAGACUACAGCCUGUUAAACCGACUUCGUUAACAUACUGCAGUCUGCUUAACAGACUUAUCUCUAUGAAGUUUGAUAAACAAACAUACUCCACGAAAUAGGAGGGUAAUUUAGACUUUUUAAAAUAUAAGAGGCCUUUUACACUUAAAAUGUGUGAGGCAUUUAGUAAUUUGGCCCCUUCACUAGGUCUCUGUCAUACCCUACUCCCCAACCCCGAGUUGUGUUGUAAAUAUUUGCUGUAUUAUAAUCAUAGAAUUUCACAGGUGGCCACAACAUGAAGAUUGGGAAACAUACGGCCAGAGUUCUGAAUUUGGAUGGAUGCAACUCGCUGAACCUGUUAUGAAAUCAUAUACUGAGGCUACUGAUGGUUCUGAAAUAGAACGAAAGGAAAGUGCUUUAGUCUGGCAUUAUCAGGAUGCAGAUUCCGGGUUUGGUUUUGCUCAGGCAAAAGAGAUUUUGGAUCAUCUAGAGAGCGUUUUAGCAAAUGAACCUGUUGCAGUGAAGAGCGGGCAAUUCAUUGUAGAAGUCAAGCCUCAGGCACGUUUCAUAAUCUCUAUUUGCAUGUCAGCUAUAUAUUUCUACUGCUGUAGUUGGCAUAUAUUCUUUCUCUUGCACUUGAUAAUUCCCCAUACCAUGAAUUGUUUGCUUCAUGUUUCCUUAGAUGGUUGCCGUUGCAUUUCCUUCGUCAAUUGUUUGCUUCGUGUUGUAUUAAUUUUCAAAAUCUCGACAAUUGAAAGCUUUUUCUUUUUCCAGUUUUUAGUUAUACCCUGGGGUUUUAGCAGUUAGUUUUUUUUUUUUUUUUUUCUUUUGUUGGUCAUAUUAUACACAAAUAUUGAUUUUGAUUGCCUGGCAACUCCAUUAACAAAAUGAAGUCUUCCAUUUCUUAUUUCCUUCCAGGGUGUUAGCAAAGGAAUAGUUGCAGAAAAAAUCUUCUCAUCAAUGGCAGAGAAGGGGAAACAGGCUGAUUUCGUGCUGUGCAUUGGGGAUGACAGAUCUGAUGAGGAUAUGUUUGAAAUAAUUGGUUCUGCAGUGUCAAGACGAAGUCUUCCCUACAACACACAAGUAUUUGCUUGUACAGUAGGUCAGAAACCCAGCAAAGCCAAAUAUUAUUUGGACGAUACAUCUGAGGUGGUAAGCAUGCUUGAAUAUGUUGCUGAAGCUUCUGGUUCUCCAGUCUCAUCUGACAAUGAAUCUGAUAUCACCGUCUAAAAAUUUAGUCGGGUUUCUUUGUUUUGUUUGGAUUUGUUUCAUUCUUUGUUGAAAUGGGAUGAUGGAAUACAUGCUUACUUGGGGUGUUAGAAUAUAGGUUCGAGGGGAAUGAAGACACCUGCUUUCUCUUUUCUUUCUUGUUAUCUCUCAUUUUUUAUUCUUUAACCCUGUCCCGAAUAGACUUUGUAUCGGUCUUGUUAAUUGCGUCAGUUUGGAUGAACUGGAAACAGAAUUUUCGUACGAAACGAGAACUCAUCAAGAUUCAAAUGCUAUUUAUGGCGGGGCUCUAGCCUGAGUCAUUGCACAACUUACUUAGUCUUGCCGGAAUCAAGAAGAGUAAUAUAUUUUUUUGGGACAUGAUAGGAUUGUGCUUGGUUUACUACAUAAGGGUGUUCGCACCCCCCUCACAUGGUAGGUGGGACCCGCCUCAUCACUCUCAUGUACACAUUUUAUGUAUAUCAAGACUUGUCCAAUUUCAACUGCUUGAAAUUUUCUCAUGCCGUUACACGGAACAAAGAAGUUAUAGGGUCCACGGUACUUGAAAUGGCCAAAGAACUAAAAAUGUGCCGAAUCCAACUCUUACAUUGCAUCUUCAAUUUUGUACAGUUCAGCAUAUCAAUCAUAUUCGUGUUCCAUGUUUAGACGAUAAAAUGGGCGAAGUACUUGAAAGAAUGAGUUUUCCCUCAACUGCUUCUAAGUAGA